CAGCAGCCGCGGGAAAACGGAGGGGGCUAGCGUUGUUCGGAAUUACUGGGCGUAAAGCGCACGUAGGCGGCUUUGUAAGUUAGAGGUGAAAGCCCGGAGCUCAACUCCGGGAUUGCCUUUAAGACUGCAGAGCUAGCAGGUGAGAGAGGUGAGUGGAAUUCCGAGUGUAGAGGUGAAGUUCGUAGAUAUUCGGAAGAACACCAGUGGCGAAGGCGGCUUACUGGCUCAUUCUAGACGCCGAGGUGCGAAAGCGUGGGGAGCAAACAGGAUUAGAUACCCGAGUAGUCCCUGUCUCUUAUAC
rnacentral:rRNA from 1 species